CUUUCGUUGAGUGAUUGUGAAAGAUCCCCGAAGGGAGACCCUCACUCAAGCCUUGGGAAGUCGCAGACCCCAGACACAUGAGAGACC
rnacentral:pre_miRNA from 14 species